rnacentral:tmRNA from 1 species
GGGGCCGACCUGGAUUCGACGCGUUUAGUGAAGUCGGCGCCGCGUGCCGGGGACCCGCAACCCCGUGACAAGCGGGAAAACAAACAAGUGCCAACUCUCAACUGGCGCUGGCUGCGUAACUGAGUUUACGCAACCCGUCUCCGGUUUGACCGGGCCCGAGGUCGGGCCGGAGACGUCGACGAAUCGGGCUGGCCUGUGAUCGGUGCCGCGUCGGUCGCAGGCGAGAUCUCACGCGGCUGGUCCGUGAGGGGCCGUCCGCUGGCCGAUGAUCGGACGAGAACAACAGAACAGCGGACUACGCACGUAGACGCGCUGAGGGAUCUAUUCGCGGACGCGGGUUCGACUCCCGCCGGCUCCAUGA